AAGUCGUAACAAGGUUUCCGUAGGUGAACCUGCGGAAGGAUCAUUAUUGAAUACGAAUCGGUACUGAUGCUGGCUACUCGUAGCAUGUGCUCGUCCAUUCUAUUUAUCUUCUCUUGUGCACCUUUUGUGAUUCUGGAAUUGAUAGCUGUUCUAUUAGCUUAGUUCGGCGUUUCGUCUUCGGGCGGUUUGGGGAUUGAGUUCAUUCACUUUCCCUGUUAUCAUUCUGGUCUCAUGUUUUCAUAUACCCUUAUAAAAAGUUAAAGAAUGUCUAUUAUCGAUCCUUGUGAUCUUUAAACCUAUACAACUUUCAGCAACGGAUCUCUUGGCUCUC
rnacentral:misc_RNA from 1 species